AGUGAACGCUGGCGGUAGACCUAACACAUGCGAGUCGAACGGCAGCACAGUAAGAGCUUGCUCUUACGGGUGGCGAGUGGCGGACGGGUGAGGAAUACAUCGGAAUCUACUUUUUCGUGGGGGAUAACGUAGGGAAACUUACGCUAAUACCGCAUACGACCUACGGGUGAAAGCAGGGGAUCUUCGGACCUUGCGCGAUUGAAUGAGCCGAUGUCGGAUUAGCUAGUUGGCGGGGUAAAGGCCCACCAAGGCGACGAUCCGUAGCUGGUCUGAGAGGAUGAUCAGCCACACUGGAACUGAGACACGGUCCAGACUCCUACGGGAGGCAGCAGUGGGGAAUAUUGGACAAUGGGCGCAAGCCUGAUCCAGCCAUACCGCGUGGGUGAAGAAGGCCUUCGGGUUGUAAAGCCCUUUUGUUGGGAAAGAAAAGCAGCAGGUUAAUACCCCGCUGUUCUGACGGUACCCAAAGAAUAAGCACCGGCUAACCUCGUG
rnacentral:rRNA from 1 species